GCCAGGUGUGGUGGUGCAUGCCUGUAAUCCCAACUACUCAGGAGGCUGAGGCGGGAGACUUGCUUGAACCCGGGAGGUGGAGGUUGCAGUGAGCCCAGACUGCACCACUGCCCUCCAGCCUGGGCGACAGAGCAAGACUCCGUCUCAA
rnacentral:SRP_RNA from 1 species